GUCCUGGGAUAGUUUAGUCAGUAGAAAAUGAGACUCUUAAUCUCAGGCUUGUGGGAUCAAGCCCCACAUUGGGCA